UUGUAUAAUGGGUCAGCGACUUAUAUUCUGUAGCAAGGUUAACCGAAUAGGGGAGCCGAAGGGAAACCGAGUCUUAACUGGGCGUUAAGUUGCAGGGUAUAGACCCGAAACCCGGUGAUCUAGCCAUGGGCAGGUUGAAGGUUGGGUAACACUAACUGGAGGACCGAACCGACUAAUGUUGAAAAAUUAGCGGAUGACUUGUGGCUGGGGGUGAAAGGCCAAUCAAACCGGGAGAUAGCUGGUUCUCCCCGAAAGCUAUUUAGGUAGCGCCUCGUGAAUUCAUCUCCGGGGGUAGAGCACUGUUUCGGCAAGGGGGUCAUCCCGACUUACCAACCCGAUGCAAACUGCGAAUACCGGAGAAUGUUAUCACGGGAGACACACGGCGGGUGCUAACGUCCGUCGUGAAGAGGGAAACAACCCAGACCGCCAGCUAAGGUCCCAAAGUCAUGGUUAAGUGGGAAACGAUGUGGGAAGGCCCAGACAGCCAGGAUGUUGGCUUAGAAGCAGCCAUCAUUUAAAGAAAGCGUAAUAGCUCACUGGUCGAGUCGGCCUGCGCGGAAGAUGUAACGGGGCUAAACCAUGCACCGAAGCUGCGGCAGCGACGCUUAUGCGUUGUUGGGUAGGGGAGCGUUCUGUAAGCCUGUGAAGGUGUGCUGUGAGGCAUGCUGGAGGUAUCAGAAGUGCGAAUGCUGACAUAAGUAACGAUAAAGCGGGUGAAAAGCCCGCUCGCCGGAAGACCAAGGGUUCCUGUCCAACGUUAAUCGGGGCAGGGUGAGUCGACCCCUAAGGCGAGGCCGAAAGGCGUAGUCGAUGGGAAACAGGUUAAUAUUCCUGUACUUGGUGUUACUGCGAAGGGGGGACGGAGAAGGCUAUGUUGGCCGGGCGACGGUUGUCCCGGUUUAAGCGUGUAGGCUGGUUUUCCAGGCAAAUCCGGAAAAUCAAGGCUGAGGCGUGAUGACGAGGCACUACGGUGCUGAAGCAACAAAUGCCCUGCUUCCAGGAAAAGCCUCUAAGCAUCAGGUAACAUCAAAUCGUACCCCAAACCGACACAGGUGGUCAGGUAGAGAAUACCAAGGCGCUUGAGAGAACUCGGGUGAAGGAACUAGGCAAAAUGGUGCCGUAACUUCGGGAGAAGGCACGCUGAUAUGUAGGUGAAGUCCCUCGCGGAUGGAGCUGAAAUCAGUCGAAGAUACCAGCUGGCUGCAACUGUUUAUUAAAAACACAGCACUGUGCAAACACGAAAGUGGACGUAUACGGUGUGACGCCUGCCCGGUGCCGGAAGGUUAAUUGAUGGGGUCAGCGCAAGCGAAGCUCUUGAUCGAAGCCCCGGUAAACGGCGGCCGUAACUAUAACGGUCCUAAGGUAGCGAAAUUCCUUGUCGGGUAAGUUCCGACCUGCACGAAUGGCGUAAUGAUGGCCAGGCUGUCUCCACCCGAGACUCAGUGAAAUUGAACUCGCUGUGAAGAUGCAGUGUACCCGCGGCAAGACGGAAAGACCCCGUGAACCUUUACUAUAGCUUGACACUGAACAUUGAGCCUUGAUGUGUAGGAUAGGUGGGAGGCUUAGAAGUGUGGACGCCAGUCUGCAUGGAGCCGACCUUGAAAUACCACCCUUUAAUGUUUGAUGUUCUAACGUUGACCCGUAAUCCGGGUUGCGGACAGUGUCUGGUGGGUAGUUUGACUGGGGCGGUCUCCUCCUAAAGAGUAACGGAGGAGCACGAAGGUUGGCUAAUCCUGGUCGGACAUCAGGAGGUUAGUGCAAUGGCAUAAGCCAGCUUGACUGCGAGCGUGACGGCGCGAGCAGGUGCGAAAGCAGGUCAUAGUGAUCCGGUGGUUCUGAAUGGAAGGGCCAUCGCUCAACGGAUAAAAGGUACUCCGGGGAUAACAGGCUGAUACCGCCCAAGAGUUCAUAUCGACGGCGGUGUUUGGCACCUCGAUGUCGGCUCAUCACAUCCUGGGGCUGAAGUAGGUCCCAAGGGUAUGGCUGUUCGCCAUUUAAAGUGGUACGCGAGCUGGGUUUAGAACGUCGUGAGACAGUUCGGUCCCUAUCUGCCGUGGGCGCUGGAGAACUGAGGGGGGCUGCUCCUAGUACGAGAGGACCGGAGUGGACGCAUCACUGGUGUUCGGGUUGUCAUGCCAAUGGCACUGCCCGGUAGCUAAAUGCGGAAGAGAUAAGUGCUGAAAGCAUCUAAGCACGAAACUUGCC
rnacentral:rRNA from 1 species